rnacentral:tRNA from 1 species
GUUGGUAUGCUCAGUGGUAGAGCACAUGUUUAGCAUGCACUAGGUCCUGGGUUCAAUCCCCAGUACCUCCA